rnacentral:rRNA from 1 species
GAUGAACGCUGACAGAAUGCUUAACACAUGCAAGUCAACUGUGGCGGACGUGUGAGUAACGCGUAAAGAACUUGCCUCACAGCUAGGGACAACAUUUGGAAACGAAUGCUAAUACCUGAUACUGUUAGAGAGCUUUGCGUCCCUUUAUCUCGUGGGAGAGGUAACGGCUCACCAAGGCGAUGAUGGGUAGCCGGCCUGAGAUGGUGAUCGGCCACAAGGGGACUGGGACACGGCCCUUACUCCUACGGGAGGAAGCAGUGGGGAAUAUUGGACAAUGGACCAAAGUCUGAUCCAGCAAUUCUGUGUGCACGAUGAAGUUUUCGGAAUGUAAAGUGCUUUCAGUUGGGAAGCGGUACCAACAGAAGAAGUGACGGCUAAAUACGUGCCAGCAGCCGCGGUAAGUG